GGACGAACGCUGGCGGCGUGCCUAAUACAUGCAAGUCGAGCGGAUCUUCAUUAGCUUGCUUUUGAAGAUCAGCGGCGGACGGGUGAGUAACACGUGGGCAACCUGCCUGUAAGACUGGGAUAACUUCGGGAAACCGGAGCUAAUACCGGAUAAUCCUUUCCCUCACAUGAGGGAAAGCUGAAAGACGGUUUCGGCUGUCACUUACAGAUGGGCCCGCGGCGCAUUAGCUAGUUGGUGAGGUAACGGCUCACCAAGGCAACGAUGCGUAGCCGACCUGAGAGGGUGAUCGGCCACACUGGGACUGANACACGGCCCAGACUCCUACGGGAGGCAGCAGUAGGGAAUCUUCCGCAAUGGACGAAAGUCUGACGGAGCAACGCCGCGUGAACGAUGAAGGCUUUCGGGUCGUAAAGUUCUGUUGUCUGGGAAGAACAAGUACCGGAGUAACUGCCGGUACCUUGAC
rnacentral:rRNA from 1 species